CAGUGGUACAAGCUCCAGCCAAAUACUAAGUUUAUGCUUCGUUCUUCGACCUCGUGUAACUUUGUCUUUGCGCCUUUUGCAGAUUUUGAAAACCUAAGCUCUGGAUCUAUGUCAGGGUGUACUGACUACGUCUUCGGAAAUUACUCUGGAUGAUCAAGCCUAUCUAUGCUUUGUGGAUUUCAUAUCCUAUCUCCUGUCUUCAUUUGGAUUCAGAUCAAGCUGGCAGUUUCCUGCUCCCGUUGUCUCCUGGACCAAACCGUUAGCGUAACCUGUCCACCCUCCAACGUAAACACCUCCACGCCGAGCUCAUUCCUGUCCGCUCCGAGCUCACACAGAACAGCACCUAAGGAAUCUCCUACAGACUCACCUUCAUCUAAUCUGGAUCCUGAAUCUCUCUACCCCUGGCGACCUGACCACAGCUACUUAUUGGAGUUUCGACCAUUACGUUCCUGAUUAUCUUCCUUUAAAUAAACAACCUUUUACUGAU